GAGGCGGAUGUUUGCUACGGUUAGUGGGCCAUCUGUUUGAAAACUGUUACUUCAUCAGUUGUAACUGUGACUCUGUUGUGUUUGUUUGUGUGUGCAUUAUCUUCAAUAAACAGAUAUGGAUCUAAAGAAAAUUAACGGAAUUUCUCUUGUAAACACAGAGAAUAAGAAACCUGUGGAGAAAUUACAAAAUCUUUCGCUAGGAGAGCCGCAGAAAAUUUUCUCAGCCCGAAUCAUGCAGACGAAAUUUGGAAGGACAGUACUGCUAGAGUUGGAGUAGCAUAUAACGUUUCUAUCGCAGAGAGUUACAAAGACCUACGAGGGAUUCAUAAAUCAUUUCGAACAAGAAAAGUACGCCAUCUUGUUCAGAGGACUGAUCAAUACGGGGAAAGCCAAUCCUGCAACAUCUUUCGAAAUUGUAGAAAAUUGAGAUAGUUAUAUUACCCUCCACCCCUCAGUGCAACAGAAACAUUUUUCGUCAAGCUUUCCUUUGAGAAUCAUCUCCGUUCAUCGCUUCACCACAUUUGACCAAGGUUCGAGUUUCCUACAGUCCUUCUACAGAGUAGUACUUCAGGCUUCCUUCUGCAGCGUUCAGCAAGCAUUCAUUUGUGUAUUCGUCGCAGGGAAAAAACAUUUUUUUGUAAGUUGAAAAUGGUGUUUUCAAAAACUUUAUCGCAAAUUGAUAAAUUGCUUGAAGCAAUUAAACAAAAUUAUUCAAGUUCCCUUGCACGAAGGUCGUUGAAUUUGAUUGGUAGGCAUAUUAGAAAAUGUGAGUUGGCAAUGAAAAAAAUUAAAUUUUCAGUUGGAGAAAAAAAGAAAAUUAUUAGCAAAAUUGGGGAAUUGAAACGCAUUAGAUGUAUAAUAAAUGUUAUGAAAAACGAUAAGUAUAUCGGAUCAGGUUUGAAACGAAGCAGUAGAGUUAAAUGGGAAACUGUAAAUGCAAUUUUCCGAGGUAGCACAAAGAAGUGCGAAAAUUUUUGAGUGACGCAUAUUUCCUUUUCAAAUCUAGAAUUUCCAAAAUUUUGAAGGAGAUGCAAUGCCUCAAAGUGAACAUGACAUUCUUGGGGGAUUUCAUCAAAACAUCGAAUGACGGGGAAAUUAUUGAUAGAAAAUAUUUCAAUAUUCGUAAUGAAAUCAUUGAUUUGGGGACAGAUUUGUCUGCUUGGCACAAUGAAUAUGUUGUGGAUGUUAUUUUGAAUAAAAUCGACGAAUUUCAGGAAAGAGACUCUGAUUGGGCAUUGAGUAAAAUUCUUUUGCUUAAGGUAGCAAUCAAUAAAUAUGAAAUGGGUAACGGUGCAUCAUUCAUACGAUUGCCCAAAGAAAUUGCAAACAAGCAUGCAUGUGUGAAUCUUGAUAAUCAAGAUGAUG